rnacentral:rRNA from 1 species
CCUACGGGAGGCAGCAGUGGGGAAUAUUGCGCAAUGGGCGAAAGCCUGACGCAGCGACGCCGCGUGAGGGAUGAAGGUCUUCGGAUCGUAAACCUCUGUCAGCAGGGAAGAACGGUCACUGUGCUAAUCAGCAGUGAAUUGACGGUACCUGCAAAGGAAGCAACGGCUAACUCCGUGCCAGCAGCCGCGGUAAUACGGAGGGUGCGAGCGUUAAUCGGAAUUACUGGGCGUAAAGCGCUCGUAGGCGGUAUGUCAAGUCAAGGGUGAAAUCCCCGCGCUAAACGUGGGAACUGCCUUUGAAACUGGCAGACUGGAGGGUGUGAGAGGAUAGUGGAAUUCCAGGUGUAGGAGUGAAAUCCGUAGAGAUCUGGAGGAACAUCAGUGGCGAAGGCGACUAUCUGGCACAUAACUGACGCUGAGGAGCGAAAGCGUGGGUAGCAAACAGGAUUAGAUACCCGAGUAGUC